AGUGAACGCUGGCGGUAGGCCUAACACAUGCAAGUCGAACGGCAGCACAGUAAGAGCUUGCUCUUACGGGUGGCGAGUGGCGGACGGGUGAGGAAUACAUCGGAAUCUACUUUUUCGUGGGGGAGAACGUAGGGAAACUAACGCUAAUACCGCAUACGACCUACGGGUGAAAGCAGGGGAUCUUCGGACCUUGCGCGAUUGAAUGAGCCGAUGUCGGAUUAGCUAGUUGGAGGGGUAAAGGCGCACCAAGGCGACGAUCCUUAGCUGGUCUGAGUGGAUGAUCAGCGACACUAGAACGUAAAGACGGUCGAGACUCCUACGGGAGGCAGCAGUGGGGAAUGUUAGACAGUGGAUGCAAGCCUGAUGCUGCCAUACAGCGUGGGUGAAGAAGAACUUCGGGUUGUGGAGCCCUUUUGUUAGGAAAGAAAAGCAGCAGGUUAAUACCCCGCUGUUCUGACGGUACCCAAAGAAUAAGCACCGGCUAACUUCGUG
rnacentral:rRNA from 1 species